GUGUAAGGAAAAACGAAAGAAAGAGAAAGGAAGGAAGGAAGGAGAGAGAGAAGGAAGGAAGGAAAGAAAGAAAGAGAAAGAAAGAAAGAAAGAAAAAGAAAGAAAGAAGAAAGAAAGAAAGAGAAGAAAGGAAGAAAGAAAGGGAGAAAGAAAGAUGGUGGAGGCAGGAAAGAAAGCAGAUAAUAAAUUUUGCUCUGAGUAAGUUGAGUUUAAGAUACCUGUGGAAUACCAGGAACCAGCAUUCUGUGAGUAGUUUUGACACAAUAAUCAGAACUCAGGGGAGAGUUGGGUAGAGAAUUGAGUCAUGGUGAAAACAGGGAAGUAGAUGCCCAGAGAGAGAAUGGAGAACAAACAGAGAAGGAAGCCAAGAACAACCUCCAAGGAAAACACAACAUUCAAGGUACACGUAAAAGAAUAGAAGCCAGUAAAGUAGAGAAAGAAGGACAAAUCAGAGAGGAGAAGAGCCAUGAGAUACCUCUCAGAAGCCAUGGUAUUAAACAUCUCCAGUGCCCCAGUUAAGUCAAAUAAGGUGGGAAGUGGAAACUGACGAAGUUUAUUGGACUUGGCGCUUUCGAAGUCACUGGAAAUUACCACCACAGCAAUUUCAGUAGAUUAGCAAGGUGUUGACUAGAGUACCAUUAAGAGUGAUUGAAAGGUAAAGAGAUGAAGACAACAAACAAAGGCUAUUCUUCUAAGAAAUUUAUCAUGAAGAUAAGAAGAAAAGGCAAUGAAAUGCAGAUCGACAUCUUCAUUUUGGACAUCUAGUCUCUAGAACUCUGGAACAAUAAAUUCCUGUUGAUUAUAUCACUCAGACUGUGGUACUUUGUUACAGCCCUAGCAAAACACUCCAGAGCAUCAAAAACCCUUAAAGUAAACUCCUACCUCUAAAUGUUCUAUUACAUGAGAAAAAUAAGCAACUAUUUAUUUAAAAAAAAAAAAGAAAGGGGAAAAAAGAGUGAAUCUUCUCUUCUGUAAUUUUU
rnacentral:lncRNA from 10 species